AGAGUUUGAUCCUGGCUCAGAACGAACGCUGGCGGCAUGCCUAACACAUGCAAGUCGAACGAGAUCUUCGGGUCUAGUGGCGCACGGGUGCGUAACGCGUGGGAAUCUGCCCUUUGGUUCGGAAUAACAGUUGGAAACGACUGCUAAUACCGGAUGAUGACGAAAGUCCAAAGAUUUAUCGCCAGAGGAUGAGCCCGCGUAGGAUUAGCUAGUUGGUGUGGUAAAGGCGCACCAAGGCGACGAUCCUUAGCUGGUCUGAGAGGAUGAUCAGCCACACUGGGACUGAGACACGGCCCAGACUCCUACGGGAGGCAGCAGUGGGGAAUAUUGGACAAUGGGCGAAAGCCUGAUCCAGCAAUGCCGCGUGAGUGAUGAAGGCCUUAGGGUUGUAAAGCUCUUUUACCCGGGAUGA
rnacentral:rRNA from 1 species